ensembl:lncRNA
GUUCCUCCAAGAGAAGUAACGGGAUGGUCUGUGACAGCCCAGUGCCGAGCCUCGCGGGAGCCAGACGCUCCCAGGACCCAACCUGGGUGCCCUCGGCCCCGCCUCCGCUGGACCCCGGGGCAGAGGCAGCUGGGCCCCACGCUUUCCCCAUCCCCAUCCCGCCUGACAGCAGAUCCUAAGUGGAGGCCCAGGCCUCCGGGUCACAGGUCUGGGGGACACCGAGGCCUCGCCUGUGACCUUAUCCUGGGGCCAGGCUACCAGCCAGCUGCGCGAACAAGCUCUUGCGGCAGGGGGCAGGGCUAAGCACGCUGUGCCCAAGGCUGAGCGCCACCCUGGCAGGGGCCUCACUCCUCAGGUCUCUCCUGUGGCCCUCAGGGGACAAGGACGCUCUUUCCACUCAGCCAGGGAGUGCCCUGGCUGCUCUGCCCCUCUCCCCACAGGACCCCUUAACCUAGGGCCUCUCACACCUACAGGUGGCCAGGAACCCAGUGGGCCUCAGAAUGUGCAUUUGUACCGGGUUCCCAAGGCAUGCGGGGCCACGGGGCUGGGACCACAGAGGCUGACUGGCGGGAUCCGGGCUGAACUCCAGAGGGGAGGGCCUCUGCCCCCCGGAACCCUGGGAUGGAAGCAGCAUUUUGGAGGCUGAUUCCCAAGGAGGGGGAAGAAGGACGACACCGGGCACCCACCGCGGGCCUCGGAACAAGCGCCCGAACUUCUCCCGCCCCGGGCUUCAUCCACGCCUUCGCUGGCUUGUUUCCUCCGCACUGCACUCUGGAAGAAAACCCCAGCAGAGGCCAAACUCAAGGACAGUGUGCAACUUACAUGGUUCAACUUACAACUUUUCAACUUUAAAAAGUUUAGGAUGGGCUGACUGGGUCAGACCCUCAUCGUAAGCCAAGGAGCACCUGUGGUUGCAAGAUGGCUGCUUCCCAGGGAAGAAGUGGCUGUAAGGCCUGCGAGUGCCCCGCGGAGAGAGGUGACAGGCUUCUGGCAGGCUGCCAUGGAACAGCAUGACAUAUUAGCCAGCACUGUGAGUCCCAGCAAAGAAAGUCACCCUCCACCUGGCUGUCCACUGUGGUAAGAUGUCCACCUCAUCCUUUAUAGCUAUGUGCUCCCACCUGGCACUACAAUUCUGGGACUUUUAUUAUCUCCACUAGCCACAGGAGCCCAGCUCUUUAGCACCCUCCCCCACCUUCGACUCUGGGCUACCAGGAUGGUCAUUGUAAAGUCCUCAGAAAGCCUCCUCCUAAAUGCAUUCUUUCUUGCCUUAGUGAAGGCAGUGUCCUGGGAAGGUUUAAGGAACUAGUUAGUGGGUUCUAGAACCCUACAGAAUAAACCCUUUUAAUAUUUCAGAUCAAGUCUUCUGCAGUUUUUCAGCCCAAUGCAAAAACUCUGGCUCCUCUACCUUGCUUGUGGCCAUUGUUAAGACCAGGAUUCAAACUACCAUCUUGGCCAACAUUUAGAACGAGCCCUGGGCAUUCUUGCUAACACAUUAAACCCUGAAUUCUGCAUGAGUACUCCCUAAUCAGUGAGUCCUCCCAGCUGAGCUUUCUGCCCCACUGCACUCCCUGCUCACUAUGUAACAUCCUCAGGGGCCCUCCCACACCUGUCCACAGCUCCUGCCUGCGCUCACUAGCCAAGGCCCCCAUACCUUUGGCACGUGUGUCUUUCCUCUCUGCAGCAGGACUUUUGCUCCCCUAUAUAGGCUGUGCCGCAACCCGACUCUGGGCAAUGAUAGAGGGGAUCAGUGGGCAGGCCAGGUCAUAAGG